rnacentral:rRNA from 1 species
UACCGAGGGGGCAAGCGUUGUUCGGAAUUACUGGGCGUAAAGGGCGCGUAGGCGGCCUGCUAAGUCGAACGUGAAAUCCCCGGGCUCAACCCGGGAACUGCGUCCGAUACUGGAAGGCUUGAAUCCGGGAGAGGGAUGCGGAAUUCCAGGUGUAGCGGUGAAAUGCGUAGAUAUCUGGAGGAACACCGGUGGCGAAGGCGGCAUCCUGGACCGAUACUGACGCUGAGGAGCGAAAGCCAGGGGAGCAAACGGG